UACGAAGGCAGCAGUGGGGAAUAUUGCACAAUGGGCGAAAGCCUGAUGCAGCUAUGCCGCGUGUAUGAAGAAGGCCCUAGGGUUGUAAAGUACUUUCAUCGGGGAGGAAAAACAAAACUAAUAAUUUUAUUUCUUGACGUUACCCGAAAAAGAAGCACCGGCUAACUCCGUGCCAGCAGCCGCGGUAAUACGGAGGGUGCUAGCGUUAAUCAGAAUUACUGGGCGUAAAGAGCACGUAGGUGGUUUUUUUAAGUCAGAUGUGAAAUCCCUGGGCUUAACCUAGGAACUGCAUUUUGAAACUGAAAUACUAGAGUAUCGUAGAGGGAGGUAGAAUUCUAGGUGUAGCGGUGAAAUGCGUAGAUAUCUGGAGGAAUACCUGUGGCGAAAGCGGCCUCCUAAACGAAUACUGACACUGAGGUGCGAAAGCGUGGGGAGCAAACAGGGAUUAGAUAC
rnacentral:rRNA from 1 species